AUACGUAGGUGACAAGCGUUAUCCGGAUUUACUGGGCGUAAAGGGCGUGUAGGCGGUCUUGCAAGUCAGAAGUGAAAUUCCUGAGCUCAACUCGGGCGCUGCUUCUGAAACUGCAGGACUUGAGUGCUGGAGGGGAUAGCGGAAUUCCUAGUGGAGCGGUAAAAUGCGCAGAUAUUAGGAAGAACACCGGUGGCGAAGGCGGCUAUCUGGACAGUAACUGACGCUGAGGCGCGAAAGCGUGGGGAGCAAACAGGAUUAGAUACCCUGGUAGUCACGCCGUAAACGAUGAAUACUAGGUGUAGGGGGUAUCGACUCCCUCUGUGCCGCAGUUAACACAAUAAGUAUUCCACCUGGGGAGUACGGCCGCAAGGUUGAAACUCAAAUGAAUUGGCGGGG
rnacentral:rRNA from 1 species